rnacentral:rRNA from 1 species
GACGAACGCUGGCGGCGUGCUUAACACAUGCAAGUCGAACGCUGAAGCUCAGCUUUUGUUGGGUGGAUGAGUGGCGAACGGGUGAGUAACACGUGAGUAACCUGCCUCCUUCUUUGGGAUAACGCCCGGAAACGGGUGCUAAUACUGGAUAUUCACUGGUCUUCGCAUGGGGGUUGGUGGAAAGGGUUUUUCUGGUGGGGGAUGGGCUCGCGGCCUAUCAGCUUGUUGGUGGGGUGAUGGCCUACCAAGGCUUUGACGGGUAGCCGGCCUGAGAGGGUGACCGGUCACAUUGGGACUGAGAUACGGCCCAGACUCCUACGGGAGGCAGCAGUGGGGAAUAUUGCACAAUGGGCGCGAGCCUGAUGCAGCGACGCCGCGUGAGGGAUGGAGGCCUUCGGGUUGUGAACCUCUUUCGCUCAUGGUCAAGCCGCAACAAUGGUUGUGGUGAGGGUAGUGGGUAAAGAAGCGCCGGCUAACUACGUG